GGGCGAUUAGCUCAGCUGGGAGAGCACCUGCCUUACAAGCAGGGGGUCGGCGGUUCGAUCCCGUCAUCGCCCACCA
rnacentral:tRNA from 2 species